GAUGAACGCUGGCGGCAUGCUUUACACAUGCAAGUCGAACGGUAACAGGCCGCAAGGUGCUGACGAGUGGCGAACGGGUGAGUAAUGCAUCGGAACGUGCCCAGUCGUGGGGGAUAACGCAGCGAAAGCUGCGCUAAUACCGCAUACGAUCUAUGGAUGAAAGCGGGGGACCGUAAGGCCUCGCGCGAUUGGAGCGGCCGAUGUCAGAUUAGGUAGUUGGUGGGGUGAAGGCUCACCAAGCCGACGAUCUGUAGCUGGUCUGAGAGGACGACCAGCCACACUGGGACUGAGACACGGCCCAGACUCCUACGGGAGGCAGCAGUGGGGAAUUUUGGACAAUGGGGGCAACCCUGAUCCAGCAAUGCCGCGUGCAGGAAGAAGGCCUUCGGGUUGUAAACUGCUUUUGUACGGAACGAAACGGCUCUGGUUAAUACCCGGGGCUAAUGACGGUACCGUAAGAAUAAGCACCGGCUAACUACGUGCCAGCAGCCGCCGUAAAAC
rnacentral:rRNA from 1 species